rnacentral:rRNA from 1 species
CACGUAGGGGACGAGCGUUGUCCGGAUCAUUGGGCGUAAGCGCGCGUAGGCGGCUCGGAAAGUCGGGCGUGAAAUGCCGGGGCUCAACCCCGGGACUGCGUCCGAUACUUCCGAGCUGGAGGUAGGUAGGGGAGAUCGGAAUUCCUGGUGUAGCGGUGAAAUGCGCAGAUAUCAGGAGGAACGACCGGUGGCGAAGGCGGACUCUGGGCCUUACCUGACGCUGAGGUGCGAAAGCUAGGGGAGCGAACAGG